UACGUAGGGUGCGAGCGUUAAUCGGAAUUACUGGGCGUAAAGCGUGCGCAGGCGGUUUUGUAAGUCUGUCGUGAAAUCCCCGGGCUUAACCUGGGAAUUGCGAUGGAGACUGCAAGGCUAGAAUCUGGCAGAGGGGGGUAGAAUUCCACGUGUAGCAGUGAAAUGCGUAGAGAUGUGGAGGAACACCGAUGGCGAAGGCAGCCCCCUGGGUCAAGAUUGACGCUCAUGC
rnacentral:rRNA from 1 species